AUUGAACGCUGGCGGCAUGCCUUACACACGCAAGUCGAACGGUAACGGGCCUUCGGGUGCCGACGAGUGGCGAACGGGUGAGUAAUACAUCGGAACGUGCCCGAUCGCGGGGGAUAACGAGGCGAAAGCUUUGCUAAUACCGCAUACGAUCUACGGAUGAAAGCAGGGGACCGCAAGGCCUUGCGCGGACGGAGCGGCCGAUGGCAGAUUAGGUAGUUGGUGGGAUAAAAGCUUACCAAGCCGACGAUCUGUAGCUGGUCUGAGAGGAUGAUCAGCCACACUGGGACUGAGACACGGCCCAGACUCCUACGGGAGGCAGCAGUGGGGAAUUUUGGACAAUGGGCGCAAGCCUGAUCCAGCCAUGCCGCGUGCAGGAUGAAGGCCUUCGGGUUGUAAACUGCUUUUGUACGGAACGAAAAGCCUUCUUUUAAUACAGGAGGGUCAUGACGGUACCGUAAGAAUAAGCACCGGCUAACUACGUG
rnacentral:rRNA from 1 species